rnacentral:rRNA from 1 species
GUAUAGUUAAUGAUACCCCCCCUGACGGUACCUUUGGAGGAAGCACUGGCUAACUACGUGCAGCAGCCGCGGUAAUACGUAGAGUGCAAGCGUUGUCCGGAAUUAUUGGGCGUAAAGGGUACGCAGGCGGAUAAUCAAGUCAAGCGUGAAAGGUGUCGGCUGAACCGACAGACUGCGUUUGAAACUGGUUAUCUUGAGUGUAACAGAGGAGAGUGGAAUUCCUAGUGUAGUGGUGAAAUACGUAGAUAUUAUGAAGAACACCAGUGGCGAAGGCGACUCUCUGGGUUAACACUGACGCUGAGGUACGAAAGCUGGGGGAGCGAACGGGAUUAGAUACCCCGGUAGUCCCAGCCGUAAACGAUGGAUACUAGGUGUUGGAGGUUCGAAUCCUUCAGUGCCGGAGUUAACGCAUUAAGUAUCCCGCCUGGGGAUUACGAUCGCAAGAUUGAAACUCAAAGGAAUUGACGG